rnacentral:rRNA from 1 species
AUUGAACGCUGGCGGCAGGCCUAACACAUGCAAGUCGAACGAGUGGCGGACGGGUGAGUAAUGUCUGGGAAACUGCCCGAUGGAGGGGGAUAACUACUGGAAACGGUAGCUAAUACCGCAUACCAUCGGAUGUGCCCAGAUGGGAUUAGCUGGUAGGUGGGGUAAGGGCUCACCUAGGCAAAGGGCCCUAGCUGGUCUGAGAGGAUGAUCAGCCACACUGGACAUGAGAAACGGUCCAGACUCCUACGGGAGGCAGCAGUGGGGAAUAUUGCACAAUGGGCGCAAGCCUGAUCCAGCCAUGCCGCGUGUAUGAAGAAGGCCUUCGGUUUGUAAAGUACUUUCAGCUAGGAGGCGUUACUCGCAGAAGAAGCACCGGCUAACUUCGUGCCAGCAGCCGCGGUAAUUC